rnacentral:tRNA from 1 species
GGAGAGAUGGCUGAGUGGUUGAAGGCACCUGAUUCGAAAUCAGACGUAGGGUCAAACCUACCGUGGGUUCAAAUCCCACUCUCUCCGCCA